GAAUAAAUCUCAGAUUAUAUUUUUUUUCUUUUUAUUUUUCUUUCUCUUUUCUUCUUCUCUCAUGUUUUCUCCGUCGAAAUCGACGAUGGCGUUUGUGGAGGAUCGGAAUUGUCUCCGUCUGGAGACUUGUUUGUCGAAUUGGUUUCCGUUUUUGGAGGAUCUGAGCCAGCGUUUGUCGAUACUUGGAAGAUCAGAGUCAUCCACUAUCUCUUCCUUAGCGUUCGUCUUCUUCCUCCUCAGUCACUUGUUAACAUCACGUCUUCUUGGCACAUGUCUUGGUGGGUAGAUCAACAGAAGAUCUCUCGGUGGACAUUGACUUGGGUAGAGAAAAGCGUGGCAUCAAAAUAUCUCGACGCCGUGUUGGUUAAAUAAAGUAGAUGCUUCUGUUUUAUGUUUGGCCAGAUUGUAUGAUAAGGGACAAAACACUGAAACUUAACAACCAUGUGUUUUUGUGUGUGUGUGUGGGACAUGUGAUCAUCCGGUUGGGUGAUGACGGAUUGUUUCAUAUGAAAACCUGGGGAAGUGUUUAAUCCUCAAAUCUGAUUGUCUGCUUGGGAUACGGGGAAUGCCUUUCAUAUUCGAGACAAACCAAAGUCGCAUGAAAGAGUACUUGAAGAGAACAUGGAAAGGGAAUUGAGACCAGAAACGAGAGCGAGUGUUCUUUGUGUAUUGGCUUGUGAAGAAGUUGAAUGAUAGUCUCUCUCUUGUAGUCUUGUGUAAUGUUACCUUAACCUCACAGGAGCAUGUUUUGUAGAUCUUUUAUUACAUGUUUAGUUCUGCAACAUGCAUAGUUGACCCA